rnacentral:lncRNA from 1 species
GUCUACCCGACCUACAUUUGACAAAAAAUAUCAAAAUUAGAUAGAAAAUAUUGAGAUUAUUUACCUCAAAUUAUGCCUUCACUCCCUUAGCUCUUGUUUUCCUUAAGAUUCAGUUUUCAAACUCUGGCUUUCCCCCAAAAUUCACAGCCAACUUUCUGUGUUCUUGCCAGUAAGCAAGUGCUGCACCAAUUUAGGGAUUUUUGCUAUCUGCUAGGUCACUAAAGUUGCCCAAAUCCUUUGGGUAGCUCAAAUUAGGGAUGAAAAAGAUGAUUUAAACUGAUUUUGUGGAUAAUUUCAGCAAGAUGACAGUAGAGCAUAAGAAGAAAUG